UACGGAGGGUGCAAGCGUUAAUCGGAAUUACUGGGCGUAAAGCGUGCGUAGGCGGUUCGUUAAGUCUGUUGUGAAAGCCCCGGGCUCAACCUGGGAAUGGCAAUGGAUACUGGCGAGCUAGAGUGUGUCAGAGGAUGGUGGAAUUCCCGGUGUAGCGGUGAAAUGCGUAGAGAUCGGGAGGAACAUCAGUGGCGAAGGCGGCCAUCUGGGACAACACUGACGCUGAGGCACGAAAGCGUGCGGAGCAAACAGG
rnacentral:rRNA from 1 species